ACGGGAAUAACCUCGGGAAACUGAGAAUAAUGCCCGAUAGAACAUUAUACCUGGAAUGGUUUAUGUUUCAAAUGAUUUAUCGCCGUAGGAUGGGACUGCGGCCUAUCAGUUUGUUGGUGAGGUAAUGGCCCACCAAGACUAUUACAGGUACGGGCUCUGAGAGGAGUAGCCCGGAGAUGGGUACUGAGACACGGACCCAGGCCCUAUGGGGCGCAGCAGGCGAGAAAACUUUGCAAUGUGCGAAAGCACGACAAGGUUAAUCCGAGUGGUUUCUGCUAAAGAAACCUUUUGCUAGUCCUAGAAACACUAGUGAAUAAGGGGUGGGCAAGUUCUGGUGUCAGCCGCCGCGGUAAAACCAGCACCUCAAGUGGUCAGGAUGAUUAUUGGGCCUAAAGCAUCCGUAGCUCGUUUUGUAAGUUUUCGGUUAAAUCCAUACGCUCAACGUAUGGGCUGCCGGGAAUACUGCAUAACUAGGAAGUGGGAGAGGUAGACGGUACUCGGUAGGAAGGGGUAAAAUCCUUUGAUCUAUUGAUGACCACCUGUGGCGAAGGCGGUCUACCAGAACACGUUCGACGGUGAGGGAUGAAAGCUGGGGGAGCAAACCGGAUUAGAUACCCGGGUAGUCCCAGCUGUAAACUAUGCAAACUCAGUGAUGCAUUGGCUUGUGGCCAAUGCAGUGCUGCAGGGAAGCCGUUAAGUUUGCCGCCUGGGAAGUACGUACGCAAGUAUGAAACUUAAAGGAAUUGGCGGGGGAGCACCACAAGGGGUGAAGCCUGCGGUUC
rnacentral:rRNA from 1 species